AAUAUGGAAAGCAAGAUCCAGCGGUUUUCGACCACAAAUAGAAUACACGUCAGCCUCUGAUCAAUGCUGCAGAAGCCACAACUCAGCUGAUGUAGCGCUCAGCGACAGUUGCCAUGGAGGGACAGUCUUGUGUCCAGUCAGUGAAACAGCCUUUGAAGACAGGAUGGAAAGAGAGCUGCCUACAGAUGACAGCUGCCUGUUCAGAACUUGCACCGUGGGCACCGACUGAGCAUUUCAGCCCAACCUGCGCGCAAUCUCAGCACCGCUGUUUGUCGUCUUUCAAUUCAGGCGAUUCAGGUUGUCAUCAGCCAACUUUAUGGUGGUGUCAUCCUGGCGGGAGAUGCAUUCACGGCUGAGGAGUGUGCACAGGAGAGGGCUGAUCACGCAGCCUUUGGGGUGCCCAUGCGCACUGGUCCUGAUGGACAUGCCGUCUUCAUGUACUACUUUCUCAAGGUACUGUAUCACAACUGAGGUAAGUGCAGGGGGGCAGUUACCUGUCAUUCAGACAGGUAACUGGAUGUUUCUUGGGGUGAGGCAGUAUGGUGGUGGAUUUGAACGAGGGGCAGGUUAAGGAUGUCUGCAAACACCCGUGCCAGCUCUCAAGUGCAGACCCUUAGGUCUCCAUGGCCUGCUGCUUUCUGGCGGUUAGUCCUCCUGAGAACUUCCCACACUUCAGUCGAUGCAGUGAGAAGGGAGCACGGAGCUGCCUCGGUCGGUGUCUCGAUGGCGUUCCGCCGUUCGCCGAUGAGCAAAAUGUCUUCGACGGGUACAAGAUAGCCGCGACAUCGCAGAAUUUGACUCAGCUUAUACUGCUGCAGAAAGCACAAAAUAAAGACAUUCUGAAAACAUAAAACAGUCAAUGCCGACACGACUGAAAGUGCAUUUCUAAAGUCAUACAGUGUAUUAAGAGCAAAUUUAAGCAAUUAUCAAAACGAAAAGCUGAAACCUAAAUGGAAUUCAUCAUGUUGCUGUGGCAACCCAUUUCAUUCUCCUUCACUCACAGGCACGCACAAUCACACAUUAGCUAAGUGCUAUUUCUUCCUUACAGCCACAUGCCCCCCCCCCCCGCUAAAAUAUCCGGCAUACACCAGCAAAUGUUGUGUUUUGGUGCAAGAAAUACACAAUGCUUAUUGGUGGAUAUUUUUAACUGCAAUUGUCAGGCAAUCGGAGAAGAGGUUCCCUAAGUAGUAGACAAAAACUAAUGGCUGAGAAGAUAUGUUGAGAAAUAAAAUACAGUUUUGUCUUUGACCACAUUUUCUGUAGAAAAACAUUCAUCAAAAAGGAAAUGUUUUUUCUGACACCCCAAAAAAUUCUCUCGGACCAAUCAUCAGAUUUUGAAAAUGUUCCGGUGGGUAGUACUCAGGCUGAAGUGGCCGUUCCAACCCGACUCCGCAUUUUGACCGACUGUAAUGUUGAUGAAGUCUCGUCACGUCGCUCAUUUGGUUCAAUCUGACAGAGUCCAUCCACGUCUGCAACAGUCAGCCCGAGAUGAUGACAGUUGUAAUGACAAUGUCACAACGUUUGUUUGAAAGGCUGAACUCAUCAAGCGUGCGGGGGGAACAGACUUCUUGCAGAGCCGCAGUCCUUUAAACACGUGUUUCAUAUUUUGGAGCAUUUUGAUUGUGACGUGUGUCAUUUUUUAAGCAAUAGCAAACAUCAACCAGCGGAGAACUAUUUAGGACCGCAGAAGGCUGAAAAAUCUUACAACGCAGUCGUCAGCUGUCGUAUAGGAACCGCAUACCUUGGACAGAUUGAAUUUUUGGUGGAGUCGGAGGCCGUUUAGAACUCUUUCACAAAGAGGGAAUCUUUUGUGUUGAAAAAGAAAAAGAAACUGAACAAUGAGAAAGCAAAGGAAAGGAUUGAGCAUCUGUCUGUACGUCCAUCUGUCACGUUACAGUCAUUUCCUCAGUCAUGCGGUCAAUUCAUGUAAAACUACACGAUAGGCAUAUGCGUAGGUUGACAAAGCUACUUUUUUUUUUUAAAAGCGAUACAAUUUGUUGUCGUGAGUCAGUGCACUUCUGUCCCGCCUCGACCACAUACGCGGAGGUCGCACAUACGCUAGAUGUGCCUGGAAUGCGCCGUUGCCCUCGGGUGCAGGCGUCCGCGACAAGACGCGCUACAAUUGCAAUCACAACACAUUAAAAGCACUACACGGCAACUUUAGGUACACCGGAAGCCAGUGCCGAUGACGCCACUGACUGGGUCACCGCUGUUCCGUAUAAAUACAUCUAAAAUGCUUCGCUGACGACGCCGAAUUUAUCCGAUUAUUGGCAGAGGUCAUAACAUACCAACGAUAACACACAAACGUAACAUCGAUGUUACAGUGUCCCGUUAAUAAUUGCAUGCUCGAUUAUACUCAUAUUGCAACAUUGCAUGCUGGUCUACUGAAAUCCUAUGCUGGUCCACCGGCUUGACCAGCAUCAGACCAGCACAAACCAGCAUUGACCAGCGAAAAAAUCAAUGCUGGUUGAUGCUGGGUUUUUCAGGUUUGUCAGGUUUGUCAGGUUUUGAUACCUGCAAUGAUGAUUGUGUUGUGUGACCUGUGUGAUUACAUCAUGAAAAUCAGUACCAAGUGCACAAUUUCCUGUUUGAGAGGGAGCAGUAACAAUAAUGUUCAUGUUCAUGUUCAUGUGUGCACCGGUAACUGCUGAAAUCUCGAUGUCCAUUCCGGUUUUCAUGAUUUAUUUGAAAUUGAUGUUGACUUAUUGCCGCUUGAGUCACGUCGUACUUAGCAGCCAGGACAGAGACAGCCUUGCUGCUGCUAGUUCGUGCACAGUUCAAUUUCCAGAGCGAUGGACGUCAUCACCCUUCUUUGGUGGCAUCUCAAAAACGCUAAAGAAAAGUUUUGGGAAGAAGACAAACCUAAACACUUGUGCUGCUUUUUACACGGGCACUGAGCUGAAGUCUCACGAAAUAUGCUGAAGUCCCCAAAGCUUUGCAGUAGUUUAGCAUCAUACGCCGAUUUCUCACGCUCGAUUAUUAUCAAAAGGUUUUUCUCCAAACUGUAGAUAAGGCUGGGGGAUAAUCCAAUUUUUAUAUUUUCCCUCCAUGGAAGAGGAUGACACAGUGUAACCGUGAACGUCCGCGCCCGCAACCCACAGACUUUACGAACCAAUCAGAAGAAGAGCAGGCUCGGUCUACGUCAAAGCAACUUGAGACAAUGAAAAAGAACCUUUUUCCACAGCAUGCCCCCUUUAACUUUUGCAGUUCCAAUUCUUUUCGUUCUUCUCAACUCGAAGUUCUUUUUUGGAUUCAUUUACCCAAACGAUUUUGCAACGUCGUGUUUCAAUCCAUUUUCGGUACGACUCGUCCUCGUCUGAGUUGCGGUAAGAUGGAGCCCGUCCCAGCUGAAGGAUGGAGCUGAGAUUCAAAUCCUAAACCUCAGAACUGCGAAGCACUCCUUCAAUACAAUUUGAACAUUGUUCAAAUGUUCUUGGAUUGUUUUUUACAUUUUUGAACACUCACUGUCUUGUGACUUUACGCCGUGUACCCUGGAGAGAUAUGGAAAUUCCCCUCGGCUUGUAUUGCAAAUGGGAAAACACAGAGGCUCGAUCGGCAAAUAGAAGCGCUUAAGCUCCCCCGCCUGAGGUUCACGACACGUAUCGUUAGGUCAGGUUGUCCAUUACAGUGUGAAAGUUCUGCAGGUGGCCUGUUGACCCUGAAGAUUCUGCUGCUUCAGAGAUACCAGCCCUGAAAUGAACAACCCUUGUCUCCUUCCCCCGACUGCCUCCUCUUCUUCCUCCCCUUGCUCAUCGUUUGAUCUUUCAUAAUCACUUCCUUCACUUCCUUCAUUUCUUCUUCUUUGAAAAUCAAAUCUUCAUCUUCUUGACCUCCUCUCUUCCUACUUUCAUCUUCACUCCAAAUCAUAUAUCACAAUAUGCUAAAGUCCCCUCCUUUGCUUUGUAAAACUUUUAUGGUCAUCCCCACAUUGUUCAAAGUGGGGGGGGGGUGUUGUAAUGGCAAAACAACAGACAGGUAUGUAUACUUUCCUUUUGCCUUUGUGCCACUAUAUCAAGCAAAAGACCAAAAUGUUUAGCCUGAGGCUAAAUAAUGAAAAAUGGAAUUCUUUUCAGUCAAAUUGAGUCCCUUAGCAACAAAGCGUGGCAACUCACCGGUGCUGCCGUAGCGACUUUGUUGCUAUAGUUAGCUACUUGAAAAAAACGUUUCGUGGCGUUAUUGAAGACUUCUGAAAAGCUUCGACCGCAAAACAAUCUCCAGAGAUGACCCCGCCACAUCCAGAGUGGAAAUCAAUCACGCUUGCACAAAUCUAAUGUGGCGCAUAUAACCCAACGCAAACGUUGCCAACGUAGCCCAACAUUCCAAUAUUUCCAGCUUAUCAGAAGCUGACGCUGGUAACACUGUUGGCUAACGCUAUCUGCGCUAAAAGUGCAACUGCGUUCGUCUUUUAGCUUUGACACGAUAGUGCUUCUUUGCAGUCCCACGGCCAUUGCUUGACAACGGUUGAUCUUUGCCAGCCUGGAUGAGAAGGUUGGCGUGGGGGCAUUUGUUAUGUUCAUAAGACAAAUCGGGAGGACACCAUUUUCCAAAAUUCGGAAUGUCCCGCUCACACGUUUUCAGAAAGAAGCAACAAACAAAAGACGGACUUGGUUGUUUAACGACCUAUCAGUCUCUCAGCAAACUCUCGAACACCCGGCUUCGGUUGGGACUCGUGAACAGGCGUGCAAGCGAGCUCAGCUACCGAACGUCGGUCACCGUCCACUUACGGCGUGACUUUUCUGCAUUCCGCCGCGGCGGACACCAGCGCCCGCCACCCGGGCUUCCCGCUCACCCACUUUACUCUUAUUGUCAUCUGAUUAGUGGAAACGUCUUUGAGUGUCUUGAGAAGCGCUAUAUACGUUUGAUGUAUUAUUAUUAUUAUUAUUAUUAUGAAAUAAAAAGCUUUAAUAAUCGCAUUAGAGACACAGAGAGAAUAUGUAUGUGUAUGUAUAUACAUCCAUCCAUCCAUCCAUCCAUUUUCUGAGCCGCUUCUCCUCACAAGGGUCGCGGGCGUGCCGGAGCCUAUCCCAGCUAUCGUCGGGCAGGAGGCGGGGUCCACCCUCAACUGGU